UGAGGUGGGGGGAAACAGGUUUGAUAAGGUGGGUGUUUUAUGUCCCCAAUGAUGAAGAGGCCGCAAGGGCUUUGGUCCCUUCACAUCAACCCACGUGCCCAACCAUGCAUAAGUUAAGUACGUUUCCAAAUUUCAACUACUUUGUCCAUCUUUCACAUCUAGAUUACUUAGAACUAGAAGAGACCACUCGUAGAAAACAUAUCCAUUUAGUUCUGAUAUCCAAGUUAUUUCACAUUAUUAUAGCAUGGUUCUUAGCGAAAUAUUGUAAUAUUAUAUAGAGGUGGUUCACCUCUAUGUGAUCUCUAAUCGCAGUAGUUGUCCAUGAGAUGGUGCAUUUCUUUUCUGAUCAAUUUAUAUUCAAAUA
rnacentral:lncRNA from 1 species